AGAAAUGCUGGGAUGAAGGAGAGUUUCAAGUGACAUUUUCUUGUAAAUAAAUAUCAGCUAAUGUCUUUUUCAAAAUGGCUGACUAGAUACCCAGAAUGAUCGUCCCCAAUGAGAAGAAAUAAAUGUGUUAAGUGAAACAUAAAAAGGCAUUGCUGAACUGGUAUGGUAACAAGGAAUCUGCAGAGAUGCAUUUGUUGGGAAAGUAGAGAUCCACUUCACAUCUUGGGAUCCACUCUGAUGGCUUCAUUGACAACAGAUCAUAAACUCUAGGACUCAUCAAAGACAAAAAAAGAUGGAAUUUGGAGGACAAGACAAGAGAUACUAAGAAGAGUAAAGUCAAUAAACAGAUGGCAGCACAGAAAGGGGACAGACUUUCAGGGCAGAUUACCAGGAGACAGCUUUUACAAUGAGUGCACUGGAAAGAGGAAGGAAAAAGUCAUUUUGCUGCUUCAUGUGUUGCCUACACAGCGACUGUUACAGUGGUUUCAGCAGAGUCAGUGGUGGUGUCAAGAGCAUCUGGAACAGAGACGGCAGCUUAGUUCAUAUGAAGCAGCAAUAGCAACAGAAGAAGAGGCAGUGACAUCACCCUCAGUUUGUUGGGGAAUGUCUGCAACCAUCAGUUCUCCUCUGUUGCUAAGAGCUCCAGCACAGCAUUGUCUUCUGUUAAAUGAAGCAGCAUGAAUGAACCCAGCU
rnacentral:lncRNA from 1 species